AGAGUUUGAUCCUGGCUCAGGAUGAACGCUGGCGGCGUGCCUAACACAUGCAAGUCGAGCGAAGCACUUUGCUUAGAUUCUUUCGGGAUGAAGAGUGAUUUGACUGAGCGGCGGACGGGUGAGUAACGCGUGGGUAACCUACCUCAUACAGGGGGAUAACAGUUAGAAAUGACUGCUAAUACCGCAUAAGACCACGGUGUCGCAUGACACAGUGGUAAAAACUCUGGUGGUAUGAGAUGGACCCGCGUCUGAUUAGCUGGUUGGUAAGGUAACGGCUUACCAAGGCGACGAUCAGUAGCCGACUUGAGAGGGUGACCGGCCACAUUGGGACUGAGACACGGCCCAAACUCCUACGGGAGGCAGCAGUGGGGAAUAUUGCACAAUGGGGGAAACCCUGAUGCAGCGACGCCGCGUGAGCGAAGAAGUAUUUCGGUAUGUAAAGCUCUAUCAGCAGGGAAGAAACUGACGGUACCUGACUAAGAAGCACCGGCUAAAUACGUGCCAGCAGCCGCGGU
rnacentral:rRNA from 1 species